UUGAGCUAGAGUUAGAAACCCUAGCCCCCAAAAGUAACUACUCACAACCCAUAUUCAUAAACAUCAAAAUUACAAAAUUUAAAUAGCAAAGAGUAGAGAAGUGUAGGAGAAAACAAGGCUAAUCACAAAUAGCUAUGAAGCUAGCAUGACUAGCCUUGAAUUACAAUCCCACAAAAUAGCCAAAUCUUAAAUCUUGUAGAAAUUGAGCCCCUUGAUAGAUCCUUGAAGCUUUGUGUAAGUAGUCCUUAAAAUCUCAAAAGAAAAUAUCAAGAAAAGAUGAAGAAUGGAGGGGAAGGAGGGGGAGGGCAGCAGCCCUCCCGGUUUGGCUCUACGGUGCUGCCCUCCCGGUUUGGCUCUACGGCGCUGCUGGUGAAGAGAGAGGAUAGGGAAUGGGUUAUCUCCAAUUAAUGGGUGAGAAGUGGGUGAUUAAUGGAUGGCUGUGAUUCAAGGGAAAAGUUGAUGGCCUGCAGCUAGGAUUGACUGAAGAGAAAAGCACGUUAUGGGGCUAUUGUUUUCGUGAGUAGGAGGAAAGGAUGGGUCAGACAUGUGGUCAGCGUGAAAAGAAACAAAUAAAUGCAGUUGCUCCUCAUUGC
rnacentral:lncRNA from 1 species